rnacentral:rRNA from 1 species
UGAUCCUGGCUUAGAUUGAACGCUGGCGGCAUGCCUUACACAUGCAAGUCGAACGGCAGCACGGGGGCAAUCCUGGUGGGGAGUGGCGAACGGGUGAGUUAAACAUCGGGAACGUGUCCUGUAGUGGGGGAUAGCCCGGCGAAAGCCGGAUUAAUACCGCAAACGCUUUACGGAGGAAAGGGGGGGAUCUUAGGACCUCUCGCUACAGGGGCGGCCGAUGGCAGAUUAGCUAGUUGGUGGGGUAAAGGCCUACCAAGGCGACGAUCUGUAGCUGGUCUGAGAGGACGACCAGCCACACUGGGACUGAGACACGGCCCAGACUCCUACGGGAGGCAGCAGUGGGGAAUUUUGGACAAUGGGCGCAAGCCUGAUCCAGCAAUGCCGCGUGUGUGAAGAAGGCCUUCGGGUUGUAAAGCACUUUUGUCCGGAAAGAAAACCUCUGGGUUAAUACCCCGGGGGGAUGACGGUACCGGAAGAAUAAGCACCGGC